AUGAAGACAGCAACUUUCCAUUUCUACACUUGGGAACAGAGUGGAGAAAUGUCUUUACCAUUUUGAAUGGAAAAGAUGGCUACUGACAGCGCAUGGACAGUGCAAUUACCGCUAAGCUUGUUUUGUAUAUGGAUCUCUGCCAGGAGCGGUCUUGAAGGUGUUAUAAGAAUGAAGACAUCUGGCAGCUGGCAUCCUUACAAUUCAUUUGCCAAACACAAGUUGCACAUUGUUGGAAUUUUGAAUUGAAAGUCACGCACCAGACUCGCAUUCCCAUUGGCUUGAACUACGAAUGGGAUGUCAAACAUCGUCACCAGCUGAUGUACCUGUUAUGUGUGUCGUGUACUUUUUUCAAUAAGUGGAGCACCUGUACAGCAACAGCACUCCCACACUACAAGCAACUUUAGUUAGAUGACCCUUCAGUUCUGGUAUGAAUUUCAAGAGGUACUGUACACACACGCACACACAAAAAGCAUGAGGUCCCUCAAAAAAAUCAACAGCAAACCCUUAUCUAAGCAUUCAGUCUAGGAGGACCAGAAUAGGGAUGAGAAUGUGGCCCCCCUCAUGAACCAUAUCAGAGCACAUUGCCCUCAACAUUUACCGUCCAUCACAUCAUCUAGCAAUGAAAGUCCACAUCAUUUAUGAUGCCCAACAUCCACGGAAGAAAUAAAAAUGAUUGACACAUGUCUACUUUCAUCGCUUCAUUCCCACUGAAUGACAGGUCUGGUGGAUGACAGAUGAUGUAAACAAAGGGGUUUAAACAGCCACUAGACCAGGGUUAUGAGGAAGAGGCCCUGCUCCUCUUCAACAUAUUGGCAAGGUCUUUUGUUGGGUGGGGUCUCCUUCAAUUUUAAAGGGCAUGUGACCUGGUGUGGUUUAGGGGACUGCAUGCUCAUGGCACCCUUUUCUGGCCUACCUUGGUUUUAAUGGGGCCUGGUUUAAAUUUUGGGUGGGGUUUUAUCUUUUUUUUUUAUAUGGGAGUUCCCCUUUAAAGUCCAGAUCAGACCCAAACGCCCAGUAUAGAAUUUAGGGGUGACAUCAUUCCUUUAAGUAUAUACCAGACUUGAAGAACCCC